ACCAAAUAAAAUAUAAUAUUUAAAAAUUAAAUAAAUGACAAGAUACUUUCUUUGCCUUUUAUAUUUUCUUCUAAUCAAUCUGAAAAAGGAAAAAAUAAUCAACCAACAUUUAAAAUUUUAAGGGGAAAAAAAUCAGCAAAACAUUUAAAAUUUAUAUACACAAGCAAAAUACAAACAUUAACAAGCAAAUCAGCAACAAACAUUUAAGAUUUAUAUAUAAUCAAACAUAAUGCUAAAUGAAAUGCUAAGGAAUUCAGCAAGCAAAUCAGCAACAACAACAUGAUGCUAAAAAAAAUGAAAACCCCAAAUAUGAAAAAAAAAUACAAGCAAAUCAGCAACAUAAUGCCCAAAUAUGUAAAAAAAUACAGAAAGGAGAUCCAAGUGUGCAGAGAAUGAAUUAUUGAGUAUGGACAUUUCUAAAAUAAAAGUUAUUUUGAGAGCCUAGAUUUAAAAUUUUAAAAUUAAAUAAAUAACAAGAUACCUUCUUUGCCUUUUAUAUUCUUCUUCUAAUCAAACUGAAAAAGAAAAGAAAAAAAUCAAACAACAUUUAAAAUUUUAAAAGAAAAAAAUCAGCAAAACAUUUAAGAUUUAUAUAUAGAAGCAAAAUACAAACAUUAGCAAGCAAAUCAAUCAACAACAAACAUUUAAGAUUUAUAUAUAAUCAAACAUAAUGCUAAGAAAUUCAGCAAGCAAAUCAGCAACAACAACAUAAUGCUAAAAAAAUGAAAACCCCAAAUAUAAAAAAAAACACAAGCAAAUCAGCAACAUAAUGCCAAAAUAUGUAAAAAAAUACAGAGAGGAGAUCCAAGUGUGCAGAGAAUGAAUUAUCGAGUAUGGACAUUAUUUUGCAUUUGGAUCAAGUUGCAUCAAAGGAUCGAGGCCCAUAAAAACAUACAGGAACGGAGGAACCUAAUGAGUGUCGAUCAGGGUGUAAAAAUAAAUCAGAUAAAAAAACAAUUCAAAACUGAAGAAACUUAAGUGUAAAAAUAAAAACAAGUCAAAACAAAUUGGAUAAAAAGUUAUCCAAAAUGUCAAAUGUCUAUACUUCUAAAAGCUAUAAAAACCUUAACAAAAAUUAUAAAAAGUCUAUACUUCUGAAAGCUUCUAUCCGUUCCUGCACAGGAAACAAAGUUUCCCAACACUGAGACUGAACGACAAUCAAACUGAAUGAGAAGACUCCACACGCCAAGACUACACGAGAAGACUCCAGAUUUAUUUGGGGGAAGAUGUUUACGAUUUAGGAUGUGAAAAUAUUGGGGAAAAUGUUUACGAUUUUAGGAUGAUUUUAGAAUGUUGACGAUUUAGGAAUGGAUUUUUA
rnacentral:lncRNA from 1 species